GACGUAGGGGGCCAGCGUUGGCUCGGAAUUACUGGGUGUAAAGGGUUCGUAGGCGGUGCGGCAAGUUGGGAGUGAAAUCGUCUGGGCUCAACCCAGAGGCUGCUUCCAAAACUGCUGUGCUUGAGUGUGGGAGAGGCGCGUGGAAUUGCAGGUGUAGCGGUGAAAUGCGUAGAUAUCUGCAGGAACACCCGUGGCGAAAGCGGCGCGCUGGACCACAACUGACGCUGAGGAACGAAAGCUAGGGGAGCAAACAGG
rnacentral:rRNA from 1 species